GCCUAGGAAUCUGCCUGGUAGUGGGGGAUAACGUCCGGAAACGGACGCUAAUACCGCAUACGUCCUACGGGAGAAAGCAGGGGACCUUCGGGCCUUGCGCUAUCAGAUGAGCCUAGGUCGGAUUAGCUAGUUGGUGGGGUAAUGGCUCACCAAGGCGACGAUCCGUAACUGGUCUGAGAGGAUGAUCAGUCACACUGGAACUGAGACACGGUCCAGACUCCUACGGGAGGCAGCAGUGGGGAAUAUUGGACAAUGGGCGAAAGCCUGAUCCAGCCAUGCCGCGUGUGUGAAGAAGGUCUUCGGAUUGUAAAGCACUUUAAGUUGGGAGGAAGGGCAGUAAAUUAAUACUUUGCUGUUUUGACGUUACCGACAGAAUAAGCACCGGCUAACUCUGUGCCAGCAGCCGCGGUAAUACAGAGGGUGCAAGCGUUAAUCGGAAUUACUGGGCGUAAAGCGCGCGUAGGUGGUUCGUUAAGUUGGAUGUGAAAUCCCCGGGCUCAACCUGGGAACUGCAUUCAAAACUGACGAGCUAGAGUAUGGUAGAGGGUGGUGGAAUUUCCUGUGUAGCGGUGAAAUGCGUA
rnacentral:rRNA from 1 species